ACGAGAGUGGCGGACGGGUGCGCAACGCGUAUGCAACCCACCCCGACCCGGGGGCAUAGCCGGUGGAAACGCCGGGUAAUGCGCCAUGAGCCGCGCAGGGGGCAUCCCCCGCGUGGCAAAGCGAGAGCGGGACGGGACGGGCAUGCGUCCCAUUAGCUUGUUGGCGGGUGAAGGCCCACCAAGGCGACGAUGGGUAGGGGAUCUGAGAGGACGGUCCCCCACACUGGUACUGAGACACGGACCAGACUCCUGCGGGAGGCAGCAGGUAAGGGAUAUUGGUCAAUGGCCGGAAGGCUGAACCAGCCAAUGCCGCGUGGAGGGAAUGACGGCCCGUACGGGUCGUGAACCUUCUUUUAUUCGGGGACAACGGCGGCGUCGCGAACGCCGUGUGAGGGUACCGAAGGAAUAAGCGUCGGCUAACUCCGUGCCAGCCGCGGC
rnacentral:rRNA from 1 species